AGAGUUUGAUCAUGGCUCAGAACGAACGCUGGCGGCAUGCCUAAUACAUGCAAGUCGAACGAGACCUUCGGGUCUAGUGGCGCACGGGUGCGUAACGCGUGGGAAUCUGCCCUCUGGCUCGGAAUAACUCAGGGAAACUUGAGCUAAUACCGGAUAAUGUCUUCGGACCAAAGAUUUAUCGCCUGAGGAUGAGCCCGCGUCGGAUUAGCUAGUUGGUGGGGUAAAAGCCUACCAAGGCGACGAUCCGUAGCUGGUCUGAGAGGAUGAUCAGCCACACUGGGACUGAGACACGGCCCAGACUCCUACGGGAGGCAGCAGUGGGGAAUAUUGGACAAUGGGCGAAAGCCUGAUCCAGCCAUGCCGCGUGAGUGAAGAAGGCCUUAGGGUUGUAAAGCUCUUUUGGCAGGGACGAUAAUGACGGUACCUGCAGAAUAAGCCCCGGCAAACUUCGUGCCAGCCGCCGCGGUAAUAC
rnacentral:rRNA from 1 species